CCUACGGGUGGCAGCAGUGGGGAAUAUUGGGCAAUGGACGCAAGUCUGACCCAGCAACGCCGCGUGAAGGAAGAAGGCUUUCGGGUUGUAAACUUCUGUUAAGGGGGAAGAGCAGAAGACGGGACCCCUUGAAUAAAACACGGCUAACUACGUGCCAGCAGCCGGGGUAAUACGUAGGUGGCAAGCGUUGUCCGGAAUUACUGGGGGUAAAGGGCGUGCAGCCGGGGAGACAAGUCAGAUGUGAAAUCCGCAGGCUCAACCUGCGAACUGCAUUUGACACUGUUUCCCUUGAGUAUCGGAGAGGUCAGUGGAAUUCCUAGUGUAGCGGUGAAAUGCGUAGAUAUUAGGAAGAACACCAGUGGCGAAGGCGAAUGUCUGGACGACAACUGACGGUGAGGCGCGAAAGCGUGGGGAGCAAACAGGAUUAGAUACCCCUGUAGUC
rnacentral:rRNA from 1 species